rnacentral:rRNA from 1 species
UACAGAGGGUGCGAGCGUUAAUCGGAAUUACUGGGCGUAAAGCGCGCGUAGGCGGCUUUGCAAGCCGGAUGUGAAAUCCCCGGGCUUAACCUGGGAACUGCAUUCGGGACUGCAUUGCUAGAGUAUGGGAGAGGGAAGUGGAAUUUCAGGUGUAGCGGUGAAAUGCGUAGAUAUCUGAAGGAACAUCAGUGGCGAAAGCGCUCUGCUGGACUGCAACUGACACUCAGGGACGAAAGCUAGGGGAGCGAAUGGG